GCCUGAAGAGGGCACCAGAUCUCAUUACAGGUGGUUGUGAGCCACCAUGUGGUUGCUGGGAAUUGAACUCAGGACCUCUGGAAGAGCAGUCAGUGCUCAUAACCACUGAGCCAUCUCUCCAGUCCCCCACCCCCCAUCUUUCAUUUUUGCUGAGAAUUUGAUCUCCUGGGUGGAGAAUUCCAUGGAAAAGUCAAACUGCCCCAACUAGCUUAUCUUAGCUUCUGUUAAACUGCCUGCUUGUACAGACCGUCCCCCCUACCACCAACUACUUAACUUUUGUUGAACUGCUUUGUUUGUGUAAAACUUCUCCCUAUAGUUGCCAAGCAACUAUACCAGGAUAUGGCUUUUGCCUUUAAAAACCCCUUAUCAUAAACACUUGGUUUUACACUUGGGUCCUGAAUACCAGAGUGUAGUUUUAGCCAUGCAGAAUAAAGACUUUCAAUUGACUGUAAACUGUGUUUGAGUGGUCAUCUUUGGUGGGCUCCCUGUAACAUUUUUUGGAAGCCCCAGUGAGAUGUCCCAGAGACUGGACCCAGACACUUAGGGGCCUCAGGACCCCCAGAAGCAGGGAAGAGUGUUCCAGUUGGAGACGACUUCUUGGACAGCCCUGAGACUAUAUUCUCUGACUGACAGCUGUUAGCUGCCAAGCGCUCUACAGAUUACCUGAUGCUGCCACCCAAAAGAAGGUAAAUCCAAAGUCAUCUGGUCUGAACACCUCAGGAGGUAAGUUUGGUCUAUAGGAGGUACCAUCUGAUUAGGACACAAGAGGGGAGAUUGGAUGUGACCAAAGAUCCAGUGUUCAGGAUCCAUGUGAUACAUCACUGGAAUCCCCAGGUCUGUUUGAGUGUCCGAAUGUGUGGUAACCACCCCUGGUUGUAUUUAUUAUGUGUCUUUCUGUAUGACUAUGUCUCCCUGUGUGUCUCUUGGUGGGUGUCUAUCAGUUUUAUUGGUUGGGAAAACAUCCAAAAUGGAAGGAGGAGUGAGCCCUUCUGAGACUGCAGCUGCCAUUGACCCCCAAAUAGUGCACUAUUUCCUGCAGGCUAUGACGAUCCGGCCACUUGCACUGUAACACCUGUAGAGGGCAAGAGGUCCUUGUGCACACUGAUAAACACUGGGGACACCAGGAAAAAUUAAACAUGCAAGCUAGUCUCCUCAAGGGAAGGAAAUAUGUACCUGUCUUCCACUGGGAAUGCUGGGAAUAGAUGUAGUUUACGAUCUGGUGAUCUUUUGCUAUCUGAGGGGCCAGGCCUCACAUUCAAAUCAUCCUUAGGAGAAAUGUCACUUGUAAUUUACAACCUAGUUAACUUUUGUGUUAUCUCAGGGCCAGGCCAAUCCUGACUCUCACAGGCAUUAUGUUUACCUCAGUCAUUCUCCCUACGCCCUUAUCCUGAGGAUUGUUUCUAAGUCAACAGAACCCAUCUUUAUGGACAUGCCAUAUGUACUUUGUAAAGAAUCUUAAGAGUAAAUACGUCUUAAGCUUUGCUGUACACACGGGAUUGAGUUAACUGUCAUCAGGAAACUCUUUUUCCCCCCCCCCAAAAUUGUGUUGUGCUUAAAUUUGUCUAAAAUAAACCACCUGGUGUCAGGUUCUGGAAGUGUGAACCAGCACCAGCUAACUAAGUCAUGCUCAGCUGGAUCUCUUUCUUGCCUCUUGUGGAUGUUGCUCGGUCAGCUGUAGCAUUUGUAGAGACUCCCACAGACACCCCCCUUCUGUGGGGGCUGCCUACCAGAGUUGCUACAGAGGUGCCUGCAGCUUCCUGAGCUACAGUGGUGGCCACCAUUUUCCCUGAAAUAACCGACAGCUUUCUCUGGGGCAAGUCCCUCCCCCCUUGGCUUAAGACCUGUGCCCUAUUGUCGAGGACUCUCUUUUUGGCCCAGCCAGGUUGCCCAGAGAAACCUAAAACCAACAAACCCCACUCCUAUCCCCCCACCCCGCCCCCUUCCCCAUCACUGUCACAGAACUCCUCCUUGUGGUCUCAGGUCCAGGUCCUGUUUCCUAUGUGGAGGUGGGGAGGGGCCGGGCCUUUCCUCCAGGGGCUCCCUGCCUUCUCAGGAGAGUGCGCACAGGGCGGAGGACAUAGUUCCUGGAGCUGCACACUCCCUUUGCCCUUCCUGGGCCUGCUCUAAGCCCCUGGCUGUGCCUCAGGAAGGAGAAAGUAGUUCCUCCAGGGGCAGCCCUGCCGGUGGGGUGGGGCAGUGGUUCAACUUCUUCCCUGUUCAUGGUUUAUGUCCCCUUCUCUACCAGUGACAUACAUAAUUGGAAGACCCUCAAGUCCUCCGUUUUCAGAGAAGCCACAGCUUAUCAGCCUGUUGGAAACUCUUUUAAGGCCAGAGAACAUGGGAUGAUCUUUGACUAGACAUGAUUAGGAGGAUUACCAGCUUAUCCAAGCCCUGUUCUGCUCACUGGAAUACUUCCGCUCCGGGGAAUGAAGCUUUCCCUGACUGUACAAUUGAAACUAAAGUCAAAUAAAAUUUUUAAAUUGAAUGGCAA